rnacentral:rRNA from 1 species
UACGUAGGGUCCGAGCGUUGUCCGGAGUUACUGGGCGUAAAGCGCGCGCAGGCGGCGGUAUAAGCAUGGCGUGAAAGCCCCAGGCUCAACCUGGGAGGGUCGUCGUGGACUGUACCGCUUGAGGGCGAUAGGGGCUGGUGGAAUGCCUGGUGUAGUGGUGAAAUGCGUAGAGAUCAGGCGGAACACCGAUUGCGAAGGCAGUCUGCUAAACUGUAACUGACGCUGAGGCACGAAAGCGUGGGGAUCGAACAGG